GCCGGGGUGGCGGAAUUGGCAGACGCAAGGGACUUAAAAUCCCUCGCUUCGCAAGAAGCAUGCCGGUUCGAGCCCGGCCCCCGGCA
rnacentral:tRNA from 1 species